rnacentral:misc_RNA from 1 species
UUUUCCCACGUCAAUCUGACAGUGAGUGAAUCCUUUAGAUUUUUGAUUUUCGCAACAAAAAUAUUUACGAAUUUACAGAAAUGCGAAGGGAAUUCAUAAUAGUUUUGUUAGGAAUUAUAUGCACAUCGACUUUAUCGUCUUUGCUCUCCGGCUAUGUGCAGAUAGAGACAGAUAAAAUCCUUUUAGACACGGUAAUCGGUGCUGUAGGUGCGGGAAACUUUUCUUAUUGGCAAUUAGGCCAUACUGGGCCUCUGCUGGUAGAAUUAACGUCUUUAUCUGGUGAUGCGGACCUUUAUGUAUCAGAUACUGUAAGGCCAAGCUAUGAGGUAGAUAAGAACAACUUCAGCUCAGUGACCUGCGGUCCUGACAUGGUGCAUAUACCAUCGGACUUCCCUAGACCUAUUGGUAUAGGCAUAUUUGGUCACUGGUCCCACUACAUCUCGGAGUACAGCAUACAAGUGUUCCUGGACGCGUCUGCCGUGCUCACUGAAGAACAGGUGCUGGUCAUCGAGAGAGCACAGCGAGGACUCGGAGAGAAAUAUCAAGGUAUAUUUAUAACUCGACAAGAGAAAAGAGAAGCCAGCGACUCGUACCAGUAAGACGGGCGAGGAACCGAAACCGAGGUUCCUGAAACUUUUGAAUAUUAUGGACAUGAUAUUCGAAAUGUUUGUGCUAUAGGUAAUACUAAUAGCAGCUUUUAAGACAAUUUCUCUCUAGCGAUAUUUCCCCGGUGUGCGAACAAAACAAAUUGCGUGCGAACAUUUGUAAAAUGUCCGCGAAACUGCAACAGCCGCGCCGUGCGCAAACACAUGCUAGCUGUGGACUCGCGGAAUAACCGUAUCAUCAUCAUCAUCUCAGCCAUAUGACGUCCACUGCUGAACAUAGGCCUCCCCCUUAGAUCUCCACAGAUACCUGUUGGAGGCGACCUGCAUCCAGCGUCGACGGCGAC